GACGAACGCUGGCGGCAUGCUUAACACAUGCCAGUCGAACGGAAAGGCCCUGCUUUUGUGGGGUGCUCGAGUGGCGAACGGGUGAGUAACACGUGAGUAACCUGCCCUUGACUUUGGGAUAACUUCAGGAAACUGGGGCUAAUACCGGAUAGGAGCUCCUGCUGCAUGGUGGGGGUUGGAAAGUUUCGGCGGUUGGGGAUGGACUCGCGGCUUAUCAGCUUGUUGGUGGGGUAGUGGCUUACCAAGGCUUUGACGGGUAGCCGGCCUGAGAGGGUGACCGGCCACAUUGGGACUGAGAUACGGCCCAGACUCCUACGGGAGGCAGCAGUGGGGAAUAUUGCACAAUGGGCGGAAGCCUGAUGCAGCAACGCCGCGUGCGGGAUGACGGCCUUCGGGUUGUAAACCGCUUUCGCCUGUGACGAAGCGUGAGUGACGGUAAUGGGUAAAGAAGCACCGGCUAACUACGUG
rnacentral:rRNA from 1 species